rnacentral:lncRNA from 1 species
GUAAACAUUUAUGUCAAAAAUCGAUUUUUCACUUUUUCCUCACCUCAUUUAAAAACCUACACUUUGCCCCCUUGUAAAAUGAAAAAUAUUUACUUCAUCCUCUACCGUUAGUGAUCCGUUAUGGUUCCGUUAUAAAAUAUAUUUUUAUGCCAAAAAUACCCUUCACCCUCUCUACUGUGCUUUGCCCUCCUUCGACUCGUCGCCUCGCCCUCCUUCACUGCCUCGCCCUCGCCCACAUCUCCGUCCACGCCCAAAAACACCCUUUCGCCCUUCUCCGCCGCUUCGCCUUCACCUUUGUUGCCUUUUCCUACCUUUCUAUUCACGCCCAUCUCGAUUUCCUCCCUACUGUCGUUGAAAUGGAGGGACAACGAGAGUCCAGGAGGAGAAGGAAAUAGAGAGGAACCGCGGCUGAUCGAAGCUCGAACCGCAAUCAAUCGAGGCGGCGGAUGAGCAAGUGAGGGAGGAGACGAAAAUGGUGAGAGACAAAAUUGUCAUUUUGUAAUCACAUUUCAUACCGUACCCCCGUGAACAUUUUUCAUUUUACAAGAGUGAAAAGUGUAGGUUUUUAAAUAGCAUAAGAAAAAAGUGAAAAAUUAGGUUUUGAUAGGAAGAUUUAUGUAAUUUAGUCCUAUUAAAAAUAAUUAAAUAUUUAAGUGAGUUUAUUGAAUCCAAUUGUCAAGAUCAAAAGUCAAUUGUAUUUAUUUGCAAAAG